GAUGAACGCUGGCGGCGUGCCUAAUACAUGCAAGUCGAGCGAACAGACGAGAGCGCUUGCACUCGCUGGCGUUAGGGGCGGGUGGGUGAGUAGCACGUGGGUAACCUACCUAUAAGACUGGGCUAAAGCUGUGAAACCGGAGCUAAUGACGUAUAAUAGUUAGCUUCGCAUGGCACAGUAGUGAAAGACGGGUGCGCUGUCUGGUAGAGAUGGACCCGCGGUGGAUUAGGUAGUUGGUGGGAUAACGGCUUACCAAGGCGACGAUCUAUAGCCGACCUGAGAGGGUGAUCAGCCACACUGGGACUGAGACACGGCCCAGACUCCUACGGGAGGCAGCAGUGGGGAAUCUUGGACAAUGGGCGAAAGUCUGAUCCAGCAAUGCCGCGUGAAGGAAGAAGGUCUUCGGAUUGUAAAACUCUGUUGUAAGGGAAGAAAAGGUACGUUAGUAUCCAGACGUAUCUUGACGGUACCGUAACAGAAAGCACCGGCUAACUACGUG
rnacentral:rRNA from 1 species